rnacentral:rRNA from 1 species
UGGGGAAUAUUGGACAAUGGGCGCAAGCCUGAUCCAGCAAUGCCGCGUGUGUGAAGAAGGCCUGCGGGUUGUAAAGCACUUUCAGUAGAGAAGAAAAGCUCAUGGUUAAUACCCGUGAGUCUUGACGUAACCUACAGAAGAAGCACCGGCUAACUCCGUGCCAGCAGCCGCGGUAAUACGGAGGGUGCGAGCGUUAAUCGGAAUUACUGGGCGUAAAGCGCGCGUAGGUGGCUUUAUAAGUCGGAUGUGAAAGCCCUGGGCUUAACCUGGGAAUUGCAUUCGAAACUGUAGGGCUAGAGUAUGGUAGAGGGAAGUGGAAUUUCCGGUGUAGCGGUGAAAUGCGUAGAUAUCGGAAGGAACACCAGUGGCGAAGGCGACUUCCUGGGCCAAUACUGACGCUGAGGUGCGAAAGCGUGGGGAGCAAACAGGAUUAGAUACCCCCGUAGUCC